rnacentral:tRNA from 1 species
UCUUUCGUAGUAUAGUGGUCAGUAUAUGAGCUUGUCACUGCUUACUCAGCAGCUAACAUCGCUCGAGACCCGGGUUCAAUUCCCGGCGAAAGAG